rnacentral:tRNA from 1 species
UUGAUAGUUCAGUGGUAGAAUUCUUGCUUCCCAUGCAGGAGACCUGGGUUCGAUUCCCUGAGGUCAAU